rnacentral:rRNA from 1 species
CCUACGGGUGGCAGCAGUGAGGAAUAUUGGUCAAUGGGCGGAAGCCUGAACCAGCCAAGUCGCGUGAGGGAAUAAGGCCCUACGGGUCGUAAACCUCUUUUGCCGGGGAGCAAGGGCGGGGACGUGUCCCCGCCCGGAGAGUACCCGGAGAAAAAGCACCGGCUAACUCCGUGCCAGCAGCCGCGGUAAUACGGAGGAUGCGAGCGUUAUCCGGAUUUAUUGGGUUUAAAGGGUGCGUAGGCGGGCUUUUAAGUCAGCGGUAAAAAUUCGGGGCUCAACCCCGGCCGGCCGUUGAAACUGGGAGCCUUGAGUGGGCGAGAAGAAGGCGGAAUGCGUGGUGUAGCGGUGAAAUGCAUAGAUAUCACGCAGAACCCCGAUUGCGAAGGCAGCCUGCCGGCGCCCUACUGACGCUGAGGCACGAAAGUGCGGGGAUCGAACAGGAUUAGAUACCCUUGUAGUC